UACAGAGGUCUCAAGCGUUGUUCGGAUUUACUGGGCGUAAAGGGCGCGUAGGCGGCCACCGCAAGUCGACUGUGAAAUCUCCGGGCUUAACCCGGAAAGGUCAGCCGAUACUGCGGGGCUAGAGUGCAGAAGGGGCAACUGGAAUUCUCGGUGUAGCGGUGAAAUGCGUAGAUAUCGAGAGGAACACCUGCGGCGAAGGCGGGUUGCUGGGCUGACACUGACGCUGAUGUGCGAAAGCUAGGGGAGCGAACGGG
rnacentral:rRNA from 1 species